rnacentral:rRNA from 1 species
CCUACGGGAGGCAGCAGUGGGGAAUAUUGGACAAUGGGGGCAACCCUGAUCCAGCCAUGCCGCGUGUGUGAAGAAGGCCCUCGGGUUGUAAAGCACUUUCAGUGAGGAAGAACGCCUGGUGGUUAAUACCCAUCAGGAAAGACAUCACUCACAGAAGAAGCACCGGCUAACUCCGUGCCAGCAGCCGCGGUAAUACGGAGGGUGCGAGCGUUAAUCGGAAUUACUGGGCGUAGAGCGCGCGUAGGUGGCUUGAUAAGCCGGUUGUGAAAGCCCCGGGCUCAACCUGGGAACGGCAUCCGGAACUGUCAAGCUAGAGUGCAGGAGAGGAAGGUAGAAUUCCCGGUGUAGCGGUGAAAUGCGUAGAGAUCGGGAGGAAUACCAGUGGCGAAGGCGGCCUUCUGGACUGACACUGACACUGAGGUGCGAAAGCGUGGGUAGCAAACAGGAUUAGAUAUCCGGGUAGUC